rnacentral:rRNA from 1 species
CGCUGGCGGCAUGCUUAACACAUGCAAGUCGAACGGAAACGAUGGAAGCUUGCUUCCAGGCGUCGAGUGGCGGACGGGUGAGUAAUGCUUGGGAAUCUGCCUAAUAGUGGGGAACAACUCGGGGAAACUCGGGCUAAUACCGCAUAAUCUCUUCGGAGGAAAGGGGGCCUCUACAUGUAAGCUCUCGCUAAUAGAUGAGCCCAAGUCAGAUUAGCUUGUUGGUAAGGUAAUGGCUUACCAAGGCUACGAUCUGUAGCUGGUCUGAGAGGAUGAUCAGCCACACUGGGACUGAGACAGCCCAGACUCCUACGGGAGGCAGCAGUGGGGAAUAUUGCACAAUGGGCGAAAGCCUGAUGCAGCAAUGCCGCGUGUGUGAAGAAGGCUCUAGGGUUGUAAAGCACUUUCAAUAAGGAAGAAAAGCAUAUGGUUAAUAACCUUAUGUAUUGACGUAACUUAUACAAGAAGCACCGGCUAAUUCCGUGCCAGCAGCCGCGGUAAUACGGAAGGUGCAAGCGUUAAUCGGAAUUACUGGGCGUAAAGCGCGCGUAGGCUGUUAUUUAAGUCGGAUGUGAAAUCCUCGGGCUCAACCUGGGAACUGCAUCCGAAACUGAAUAACUAGAGUAUGGGAGAGGUAAGUAGAAUUUCCGGUGUAGCGGUGAAAUGCGUAGAUAUCGGAAGGAAUACCAGUGGCGAAGGCGGCUUACUGGACCAAUACUGACGCUGAGGUGCGAAAGCGUGGGGAGCGAACAGGAUUAGAUACCCUGGUAGUCCACGCCGUAAACGAUGAGAACUAGAUGUUGGGAGGGUUAGCCUCUCAGUGUCGCAGCUAACGCAUUAAGUUCUCCGCCUGGGGAGUACGAC